GGGGAAUAUUGCACAAUGGGCGAAAGCCUGAUGCAGCAACGCCGCGUGAGUGAUGACGGUCUUCGGAUUGUAAAGCUCUGUCUUUUGGGACGAUAAUGACGGUACCAAAGGAGGAAGCCACGGCUAACUACGUGCCAGCAGCCGCGGUAAUACGUAGGUGGCAAGCGUUGUCCGGAUUUACUGGGCGUAAAGGGUGUGUAGGCGGAUGUUUAAGUGAGAUGUGAAAUACCCGGGCUUAACUUGGGUGCUGCAUUUCAAACUGGAUAUCUAGAGUGCAGGAGAGGAAAGCGGAAUUCCUAGUGUAGCGGUGAAAUGCGUAGAGAUUAGGAAGAACAUCAGUGGCGAAGGCGGCUUUCUGGACUGUAACUGACGCUGAGGCAUGAAAGCGUGGGGAGCAAAC
rnacentral:rRNA from 1 species